GUUACCCUGCAGAUGUCGCGAUGGAAAGGCCAAGCUUCUCGAAGCCCGAUGCUGGCUUAUUAGCUGACAUACUGGCUGAGCAGACCUCUAGAGGAACCGAGAGACCAUUCUUUGGGAAUGAUUCAUCCACCGCGCCAACCAUUGGGAUUAGCCCGAUAUCGAUUCCUGGCAUAUCUAGCUUGCCUCGGAGUGACGGACUCGCAGGACCAGCCACCGGGACUGAUUCUCUUAUGACUCCUGUCG